AUGACUAUAGUCUUGGUAGGUGACUUCAGACAAAUCCUACCGGCUAUACCAAUGGGGAAAAGGGAAUGUAUUUGUUUCCGCAUAUAUAAAGAGAUCCUACCUAUUGAAGAACUUUCAGGCCGACUCACAAAAAAUAUGUGUCUGAAUUCAUCUGAAGGUAGUCCAGUAAAGAAAGCAAAGACGGCGGAAUUUCCAAGCUGGAUGCAAAACAUCAGCAAUGGCGCAGCAACAACAACAAAUGAAGAAGAUUGGAUUAGCAUCCCAGAAGACCUUAUUUUACAUGAAGGAGAUAACCCCAAAGCAUCCAUUGUUAAUAGCAUCUAA
rnacentral:rRNA from 1 species